rnacentral:tRNA from 1 species
GGUCCUAUAGUUCAAGGGAUAGAACGGAAGUUUCCUAAACUUCAGAUCCAGGUUCGAGUCCUGGUGGGACUACAA